rnacentral:rRNA from 1 species
AACGAACGCUGGCGGCAUGCCUAACACAUGCAAGUCGAACGAGACCUUCGGGUCUAGUGGCGCACGGGUGCGUAACGCGUGGGAAUCUGCCCUUGGGUUCGGAAUAACAGUUGGAAACGACUGCUAAUACCGGAUGAUGACGUAAGUCCAAAGAUUUAUCGCCCAAGGAUGAGCCCGCGUAGGAUUAGCUAGUUGGUGAGGUAAAGGCUCACCAAGGCGACGAUCCUUAGCUGGUCUGAGAGGAUGAUCAGCCACACUGGGACUGAGACACGGCCCAGACUCCUACGGGAGGCAGCAGUGGGGAAUAUUGGACAAUGGGCGAAAGCCUGAUCCAGCAAUGCCGCGUGAGUGAUGAAGGCCUUAGGGUUGUAAAGCUCUUUUACCCGGGAUGAUAAUGACAGUACCGGGAGAAUAGGCUCCGGCUAACUCCGUG